GGCAAGAUGGCCGAGCGGUCUAAGGCGCUAGACUCAAGAGGAUUUCUCGAAAGAGGCGGGGGUUCGAAUCCCCCUCUUGUCA
rnacentral:tRNA from 1 species